UAUCAAUAAGCGGAGGAAAAGAAACUAACAAGGAUUCCCCUAGUAACUGCGAGUGAAGCGGGAAAAGCUCAAAUUUAAAAUCUGUCAGUCUUUGGCUGUCCGAGUUGUAAUCUAGAGAAGCGUUGUCCGCGCUGGACCGUGUACAAGUCUCCUGGAAUGGAGCGUCGUAGAGGGUGAGAAUCCCGUCUUUGACACGGACUGCCAGGGCUUUGUGAUGCGCUCUCGAAGAGUCGAGUUGUUUGGGAAUGCAGCUCAAAAUGGGUGGUAAAUUCCAUCUAAAGCUAAAUAUUGGCGAGAGACCGAUAGCGAACAAGUACCGUGAGGGAAAGAUGAAAAGAACUUUGGAAAGAGAGUUAAACAGUACGUGAAAUUGCUGAAAGGGAAACGCUUGAAGUCAGUCACGUUGUCCAUGGAUCAACCUUGCUUUUGCUUGGUGUACUUUCUGGUUGAUGGGUCAGCAUCAAUUUUGACUAUUGGAAAAAGAUUGAGGGAAUGUGGCAUCUUUGGAUGUGUUAUAGCCCUUGGUUGCAUACAAUGGUUGAGAUUGAGGAACUCAGCACGCCGCAAGGCCGGGUUUUAACCACGUACGUGCUUAGGAUGCUGGCAUAAUGGCUUUAAUCGACCCGUCUUGAAACACGGACCAAGGAGUCUAACAUGCCUGCGAGUGUUUGGGUGGAAAACCCGAGCGCGUAAUGAAAGUGAAAGUUGAGAUCCUUGUCAUGGGGAGCAUCGACGCCCGGACCAG
rnacentral:rRNA from 1 species